CGUAGGGUGCGAGCGUUAAUCGGAAUUACUGGGCGUAAAGCGUGCGCAGGCGGUUUUGUAAGACAGAUGUGAAAUCCCCGGGCUCAACCUGGGACCUGUAUUUGUGACUGCAAGGCUAGAGUACGGUAGAGGGGGAUGGAAUUCCGCGUGUAGCAGUGAAAUGCGUAGAUAUGCGGAGGAACACCGAUGGCGAAGGCAAUCCCCUGGACCUGUACUGACGCUCAUGCACGAAAGCGUGGGGAGCAAACAGGAUUAGAUACCCUGGUAGUCCACGCCCUAAACGAUGUCAACUGGUUGUUGGGUCUUUACUGACUCAAUAACGAAGCUAACGCGUGAAGUUGACCGCCUGGGGAGUACGGCCGCAAGGUUG
rnacentral:rRNA from 1 species